AUCAGUUCUCGGCCUUUUAGCUAAGAUCAAGUGUAGUAUCUGUUAUCAGUUAAGAAAAGAUGGUCUGUGAUUUUUCAUCCAGGUAUGAAACAAACCUGAUCUGAAUGGACCAGGUUUUCCAGACAGGAGCACCAGGUGGGGUACCUCCUCUGAGCACCACACAGGAGAUCCAUAUAAUGCAU
ensembl:snRNA U2 U2 spliceosomal RNA